rnacentral:tRNA from 1 species
CACCCGUAGCUCAGCUGGAUAGAGCGCUGCCCUCCGAAGGCAGAGGUCACAGGUUCGAAUCCUGUCGGGUGCGCCA